GUUUCCCAGUCACGAUAAAUCCUUCGGGAUGAGUAAAGUGGCAGACUGGUGAGGAAUACGUAGGAAUAUGCCUUUUAGUGGAGAAUAUGCUCAAGAAAUUGGGUUUAAUACUGCAUAAGUUCUUUAUAGAAGAAAGAUGGCCUCUUUGCUAUCGCUGAAAGAUUAGCCUACGCACUAUUAGUUAGUUGGUGAGGUAAAUGCUUACCAAGACGAUGAUGGUUAUCCGGCCUGAGAGGGUGAUCGGACACAUUGGGACUGAGAUAUGGCCCUGACUCCUACGGGAGGCAGCAGUGGGGAAUUUUGCGCAAUGGACGAAAGUCUGACGCAGCAACGCCGCGUGGAGGAUGAAGCCCUUUGGGGUGUAAACUUCUGUUGAUCGGGAAGAAAAGUUAGUAGUUAAUACCUGCUAUAAUGACGUUACCGAUAAAGAAAGCACCGGCUAAUCUCGUGCCAGCAGCCGCGGUAAUACGAGAGGUGCAAGCGUUAUUCGGAAUUAUUGGGCGUAAAGGGCGCGUAGGCGGCUUUAUAAGUUUUUUGUUUAAUUUUCUGGCCUAACUGGAAACAUGCAAAAAAUACUGUAUUGCUAGAGUAUAAUAGAGAGGAGUGGAAUUUUCGGAGUAGCGGUUAAAUGCGUAGAUCUCGAAAGGAACGCCAAUGGCGAAGGCAGCUCAUUGGGUCAUUACUGACGCUGAGGCGCGAAGGCGUGGGGAGCAAACAGGAUUAGAUACCCUGGUAGUCCACGCAGUAAACGAUGAUCACUAGACGGUUGGGGGUAACCCUGAGUGUCGCAGCUAACGCGAUAAGUGAUCCGCCUGGGUAGUACGAUCGCAAGCUUAA
rnacentral:rRNA from 1 species